rnacentral:rRNA from 2 species
GACGAAGGUGGCGAGCGUUACUCGGAAUUACUAGGCGUAAAGCAUGGGCAGGCGGUUCGGCAAGUCUGUUGUGAAAGCUCCUGGCUUAACCGGGAGAGGUCAAUGGAUACUACCGGGCUUGAAUCGGGGAGAGGUCACUGGAAUUCCUGGUGUAGCGGUGAAAUGCGUAGAGAUCAGGAGGAACACCAAUGGCGAAAGCAGGUGACUGGACCCGUAUUGACGCUCAUCCAUGAAAGCCGGGGGAGCAAACAGG